rnacentral:rRNA from 1 species
UGUUACAGCCAUAUCACGUUGAAAGUACCGGUUCUUGUCCGAUCACUGGUGUAAGCAAUGUUGAGCCUAGUGAGUACUUAGAUAGAUGACCGCUUGGGAAACCUAGCUGCUGUAAGUG